rnacentral:rRNA from 1 species
UGGGGAAUCUUGCGCAAUGGGCGAAAGCCUGACGCAGCCAUGCCGCGUGAAUGAUGAAGGUCUUAGGAUUGUAAAAUUCUUUCACCGGGGACGAUAAUGACGGUACCCGGAGAAGAAGCCCCGGCUAACUUCGUGCCAGCAGCCGCGGUAAUACGAAUGGGGCUAGCGUUGCUCGGAAUUACUGGGCGUAAAGGGCGCGUAGGCGGAUCGUUAAGUCAGAGGUGAAAUCCCAGGGCUCAACCCUGGAACUGCCUUUGAUACUGGCGAUCUUGAGUAUGAGAGAGGUAUGUGGAACUCCGAGUGUAGAGGUGAAAUUCGUAGAUAUUCGGAAGAACACCAGUGGCGAAGGCGACAUACUGGCUCAUUACUGACGCUGAGGCGCGAAAGCGUGGGGAGCAAACAGG